AUUGAACGCUGGCGGCAUGCCUUACACAUGCAAGUCGAACGGUAACAGGUUAAGCUGACGAGUGGCGAACGGGUGAGUAAUAUAUCGGAACGUGCCCAGUCGUGGGGGAUAACUGCUCGAAAGAGCAGCUAAUACCGCAUACGACCUGAGGGUGAAAGCGGGGGAUCGCAAGACCUCGCGCGAUUGGAGCGGCCGAUAUCAGAUUAGGUAGUUGGUGGGGUAAAGGCUCACCAAGCCAACGAUCUGUAGCUGGUCUGAGAGGACGACCAGCCACACUGGGACUGAGACACGGCCCAGACUCCUACGGGAGGCAGCAGUGGGGAAUUUUGGACAAUGGGCGCAAGCCUGAUCCAGCCAUGCCGCGUGCGGGAAGAAGGCCUUCGGGUUGUAAACCGCUUUUGUCAGGGAAGAAAAGGUUCUGGUUAAUACCUGGGACUCAUGACGGUACCUGAAGAAUAAGCACCGGCUAACUACGUGCCAGCCGCCGCCGUAACAC
rnacentral:rRNA from 1 species